GUUGUUUACGAAUGUUUGCAACCAUUCGUUUAAUAACCACAAACCAAAAGUCACAAUAGUUUAUUAAUAUAACCGUUGAUACACUUAAAUUACCAACAAUAGCCCACAUCUUCAGAAGUGAAUAACUUCUGGAAAUAUUGUUCGGCUAUUCUCCCCAGUUCCUUAUCCGCUGACCAUUGUUUACCUUCAUCAUCCUCCAAGAACUGAAUUCUUUUCUGUGCUUUCCUGCCUUUGGUCGCUGCAUGAAAAAAUUUGGUGUUUCUAUCACCAUUAUUCAACCAGAACCUUUGCUGAGUUGCCAGAUCAAUCCGAUGAUGAAGGUCUUUUAUUCUAAGAGCAGAGUUUGGUUUCGAUUGUCUCUUCCAUUUGGAGAUCUCUUUUCUACAUCCUCUGAUCUUAUCAACCAUCCGUGAGGAUUGUUUUA